CCUACGGGAGGCAGCAGUGAGGAAUUUUCUGCAAUGGGCGAAAGCCUGACAGAGCAAUACCGCGUGAGGGAAGAAGGCUUACUGAGUUGUAAACCUCGGUGCCUUAAGGAAGAAGAUCUGACGGUACUUAAGGUGGAAAGCAUCGGCUAACCCCGUGCCAGCAGCCGCGGUAANACGGGGGGAUGCAAGUGUUAUCCGGAAUCACUGGGCGUAAAGCGUCUGCAGGUGGUUUCCUAAGUCCACUGUUAAACCUUGAGGCUCAACCUCAAAUCUGCAGUGGAAACUAGGGAACUUGAGGAUAGUAGGGGUAGAGGGAAUUUCCAGUGGAGCGGUGAAAUGCGUAGAUAUUGGAAAGAACACCGAUGGCGAAGGCACUCUACUGGGCUAUGACUGACACUCAGAGACGAAAGCUAGGGGAGCAAAUGGGAUUAGAUACCCCAGUAGUCCUAGCCGUAAACGAUGGAUACUCGAUGUUGGACGUAUCGACCCGUUCAGUAUUCUAGUACUACGUACGUAGUACGUCCGUCCGUCGGGUAGGUACGCGUCGCGAGAGUAGAACGUACGAAGAAGUAGACGGCGNGAGACGNGCGACGACGACGACGAGGGAGGUAGG
rnacentral:rRNA from 1 species